CCCUUAGAUGUUCUGGGCUGCACGCGCGCUACACUGAUGCGUUCAACGAGUGUAUCACCUUGCCCGAUAGGGUUGGGUAAUCUUUUGAACACGCAUCGUGAUGGGGAUAGAUUAUUGCAAUUAUUAAUCUUCAACGAGGAAUUCCUAGUAAUGAUGAAUCAUCAGUUCAUCGUGAUUACGUCCCUGCCCUUUGUACACACCGCCCGUCGCUCCUACCGAUUGGAUGAUCCGGUGAGCUAUUCGGACUUUCGCAUUGUCGAUUUUCGGCUUUACGAGGGAAAGUCUCGCGAACCUUAUCAUUUAGAGGAAGGAGAAGUCGUAACA
rnacentral:rRNA from 1 species